rnacentral:pre_miRNA from 1 species
CAUAUACUCCCUUCAUCCGAAAAAAUUUGUCCCUCAAAUGGAUGUAUCUAGCAUCAAGUUAGUGCUAGAUACAUACAUUUGAAGGGCAAGUGCUAGAUACAUUCAUUUGAAGGACAAGAUUGGGACAGGUUUUUUCGGACAGAGGGAGUAUAAU